UACGUAGGGGGCGAGCGUUGUCCGGAAUCAUUGGGCGUAAAGCGCGUGUAGGCGGUUCGGUAAGUCCGCUGUGAAAGUCGGGGGCUCAACCCUCGAAUGCCGGUGGAUACUGUCGGGCUUGAGUACGGAAGAGGCGAGUGGAAUUCCUGGUGUAGCGGUGAAAUGCGCAGAUAUCAGGAGGAACACCAAUUGCGAAGGCGGCUUCCUGGACCGAUACUGACGCUGAGACGCGAAAGCGUGGGGAGCAAACAGG
rnacentral:rRNA from 1 species